GACGUAGGGGCCCAGCGUUGUUCGGAAUUACUGGGCGUAAAGGGUUCGUAGGCGGUGUAGCAAGUCGGGUGUGAAAUCUCUGGGCUUAACCCAGAGGCUGCUUCCGAAACUGCUGUGCUUGAGUGUGGGAGAGGCGCGUGGAAUUGCAGGUGUAGCGGUGAAAUGCGUAGAUAUCUGCAGGAACACCCGUGGCGAAAGCGGCGCGCUGGACCGCUACUGACGCUGAGGAACGAAAGCUAGGGGAGCAAACAGG
rnacentral:rRNA from 1 species